rnacentral:misc_RNA from 1 species
GAUUUCUUUUCAUUUUAUUCUUGGUUCUUGUGUCGUUCCUUUUUCUUGGAUUUUAUAUUAGCGUUCUUGAAACUUCUGAUGAUGUUUGUUCCAGAACUUGAUUCAGGUUCCAAUUAGAUUGUUUUCCUUGAUUCAAGGAUUUCUUUCUGGAAAUUUGGAGUUUAUAGGUGAAAUCCAAUUGAUAUAUGUAAUUAAUUCCUCGGCUGGAUGAUUUUUGUGACGAACAUUCAAGAACUUAUAGAACCCCAACAAUAUAGAAUUGCUUUCUCAAUGAUGAUAAUUCUAUUUGUUUUGACUAAACAAGAUUUGUAUGGUAGAAGCAGAAUCUUAUAGUACUGCAAGAAACUAUAGGCUAUGGUAACCCUAUGGCAGGAACUAAAUAAGAAAAAUGCUUUUUUAUCUUCUCAGUCUCACUUAUCUGAAAGUAGAUUUUGGAUGUUGCAGUGCUUUACCAAAAUAUAUGUGAUCAAAAACUUCUCACAUAAUAAAUUUCUGAUAUGAUCAAACAGAAUUUUAUAUCUAAAUAUAAUGAUCUAGUGUUACAAUUUUUAUUGUUUUUGUUCCUUUUCUCAUUGAGUUUUCA